rnacentral:rRNA from 1 species
CCUUUGAGCGAUUGACUCAUGUUGCCUCGGCGGGUUCUCCCGCCCCAGGAUACAGUCAUCAACUCCUGUUUUACAUCGGUGUUGUCUGAGCUGCGAAGUCUAACUGUAUAUCANAACUUUCAUACAACGGAUCUCUUGGUUCUGGCAUCUGUAUGAACGAACGCAGCGAAAUGCGAUAANUAUUGUGAAUUGCACAAUUCGAGUGAAUCAUCGAAUCUUUGAACGCACAUUGCGCCCCUUGGUAUCCCGAGGGGCAUGCCUGUUCGAGCGUCAUUUCACCACUCAAGCCCGGCUUGGUGUUGGGCGACGUCUCCUUUAGGGACGCGCCUCGAAACGCUCGGCGGCGUGGCACCGGCUUUAAGCGUAGCANAAUCUUUCGCUUUGAAAGUCGGGGCCUCGUCUGCCGGAAGACCUACUCGUAAGGUUGACCUCGGAUCAGGUAGGGAUACCCGCUGAACUU